UGCUUCAUCCCUGCCUGAGUGACAGUUCCCGACGAUGUGCCACUGCCCGGCCUCAGCCCAUCCCCAUGCGAUGGCUUUCGUUUAGCUGGGAAAGCACGGAGUCAGGAUCAACUGCACAAGUCUUGGUGAAUCCCACCUAGCAAGUCCACAAAGAGCAACAGGGACCACUGGCCCUCUCCCCGGGACCACCAAGGGUAGGGCCAGGCUCAGCCUGUAGCUCCACACCUGCCUCCCCUGCAGCUGACCCAAAGACUGAUGCUGUCUUCAGCCAGAGAUGGAUGAGGCCCUCCAGGAACAUCCUCAACUUGCUCAGUUUCUCUGGUGGGCAUUAUCUGGAGGAAAUAAUUUUUGAGAUAUGUGUGUCACAGUGAUGUCCUAUCUGCCUUAGAAGGGACUUCAGGAUUUUUGCCAACUGCUGUUUACACAAAACUCUAUUAGAACGGUGUCCCGAGGGGCUGCAGAGGGGGAAGGAGAAAACCAUCACCAUAAGCUGCUGCGGUGACCCAAGAAAUGCAUACUACAGAGGAAUAUGCAACUUCUUCUCCAGAUGCCACCAAGUAAGGGAGAAAGGGGGUAACAAGCUGUCUGGAGCCAGCUACCCCUAGUGUCUACAGCAAAUGAGUUCCUGUAAUGAGGGGGAAUAUAUGAUCUAUGCAAAUGCCACUAAUGGCUUUUCCUGCAGCUGGGUGCCAAAGCUGUUUCCCCUUUGAUCAUAUUGUCCCCUUCCCAGUCUGUCUUCAACACUGUUACAGCUACUGGUGCAGUGUAUUUCAAGCUAUUAAUAACAUCUCUUUCAGUAUUUGUACUAUAAACCACAGCGGUUUUACAUACAUUUUUUUCAAAACAUGACUUUAUUGCAUUAUCAUCUUUUUUAUAGAGACCAGGUAAGAUACAGAUAUCAGCAGAGAUGACAGACAUGGGCAAAUUGCACUGAUAGAUCAUUAUUACCAGAGCAACCACAAUUUUUAGAUGUUCCUUUACCACAGUGUUGCCAGAUGAACUGUGUCGACCUAGACAUACAAAACCUGAACUUGUUUGAACAUUUUCACUCUGUCCUACAGGGCCGUUGAAACAGACUUCUGUCUGUCCACCUCCUGGCAGACACUGCCAGGAGCUCCAGGGAAGAGGGAGAGCUGCUCACAUUUGGAUUCCAAAAGAGUCAGGAUGGAGAUUAGCAGCGGGAAGGCAGUCAAAAAAGCGAGCCCCAAGGGAAGGUCUGAACCAGAAGGUGGAUUACGGCCUCCCGAGGGUGCGGCGAGGUCGGGUGAGGUGGCAAAGGAGGAUGGGCAGCUGGCACGCCAUCGCACAGGCUCCAGAAAGGGUCUGAGUGAAUAUAAGAGAAACUUCAGAUGGAAAACCCCAGAGUUUUGUAGCCCAUCCCAACAGCAGAAAUCCUUGUGGGCAGGACUUCGGUCGGAUCAGUUCGGAAUCACGAGAGAACCAAACUUCAUUUCCAAGAGAAGGGUACCUUACCAUAAUCCACAGAUUUCAAAGUCCUUUGAAUGGACAGCAGAUUGUGAUUUGAAUGACCCACUUGAAACUGAAGUUAUUAGAACUGCAGAGUUGCACACAGACCACAACAACAAUGAUGUGAAUCAGGAAAAAAUUGAAACGCCAGAAGGACCCAGACUCCCCCGAGAAGUUCGGUCACAUUCAGUAGACUCUAGAGGUGAAACAGCCCUUGCCCUUGCAGAAAACAACAUGAAGAGAUCACCCUCUGCAGCUUCAGCAAAUCAAAAUGAAGCACUUUCAUCUCCAAAAAAGGAAUUAGAAAAAAUGGGUAAUGGGCUUCCCAGAGUCCUUCAGAGGAAAGCAGGCAUGAAUAUUUCACAUUUAAAUACUUUUCCCAGAAAUUCUGAAUAUCAAAGCCAAUUUGUUUGGAAGAGUCCUCAUGAAAAGUCACCAAUACUUGCAGCUGAACAGGUUAUUAGCAACACAAGUAAAUCCAUACCUCCAUUUAAAUCUCCUGCAAUUACUUCUGAAACUGCACAUGAGAGAAAUUUCAAAGGGUCUCCUCCUGUUAAGGGUCCACAAGAAAGAGGUGGUUCAGAAGAGAAAGAAUUUCCAGUUUGUGAACAAAGUAAGAGGGAAGAACCGUUUCAAAAGCCAGCAGAAGAUGCAGCAAAACAAGGGAAAUCAGAACAGAAACAUCCUAAACAAAAAAAUAAGCAACAUAUCAGUCCAAAGCCCCUCUCUUUACAUACAAGUCGUGGGAAGAUGAACACUGAAUAUAGGUCAAAAUUUUUGUCUCCAGCCCAGUAUUUCUACAAAGAUGGAGUUUGGUCUCGAAUCAGGAGUAAAGUUCCCAACCAGGCAUCUCAAAACACCUUAAAUUCCAUGUGGUAUAUGGAGGUGAGAGAACUUCGAGAAAGAGCAAAGGCUUACAGGCAACGAGUAGAAGGAACACACUUCUCCCGAUACCAUCUCAAUCAGAUCCUGUCCGAUAAUAACAGUCUUUGGGAUGUGUCCUCAAAUUCUAGUUCAGAAGAAGGCAUCAGCAACAACAUCAGAGCACUAGAUCUUGCCGGAGUUUCUGAAAAAGAGACUGCACCAAGCCCCAAAAUGCUGCAGCAACCUGACUCCAGAGAACAGCCAAACCAGGACAGCACUGAGAAGAAAGACAUGUCAGAUGCUUUAACUGUUCCAGUCAAAAGGCGUUUAGUUUGGGGUGAACAAGAAGGUGCUGAAGAAAGGGAGAAUCAGCAAUCAACAGAAGGGGAAAAAAACCAAGAUGAACAGACUGCAGUUGUGGCUCAGCAAUUAGAAGAGAACAAUAAAGAUGCCAAUGAAGAUAAGAAAAUUGAAGGUGAGAAUGCCUUAGUAUUGAAUUCUUCUGCAGCUGUGUCAAAUUCUUCGGUAUCCUCGAGGACAGGCGGCAGGCUUCCUACUCCAAAGCUGAGAGCGCUUGGUGGAGCUCAGAGGACUCAUCAUGAUCUCACUACCCCAACUGUUGGAGGUGCGGUUCUAGUGUCUCCUCCUAAAUUCAAGUCUUCGUCUUCACAGCAGAGAACACGAGGUUUAGGAACAGACUCUUCUUCGGCUAAGCAAGGUGCAAGAGAAGCUUCCAAAAGAAGGUCCUUCCAGCCUGAUGUGGAAGUGGAAGCUGUUUCACUCCUUACCUCUCCACCUGCUGGGCUGGGAACUUUGGAUCCUCUGCCACUUAGGCAGGAUCAGUGGCCUCCUAACAGUGUUUCUGAUGAGCAAGUUCCUCUUGCUUCAGCCCAUCAAGAGCAUUCCUCUACGCCUCCUGUGCUGAAGUCAGCCAAAAGCUGCUCUGUGCCUUGCUGGAGUCCCUCUCGUCGUAUUCAAGGGACUCUCAAGGAUCCAGAAUUCCAGCAUAAUGGGAAUGUUGGCAAUCCCAAAAUGAGAUCUUUCCAGUUACCCCUUCAGGAAAGAAGCUAUAAUGAUGAAGAUGACAGGUUGUCUCAGAUUUCUGCUCGCUCGGCAGCGUCUAGCUCACUUGCAUCUCAGAUACUGGAACGAGCUCAGAAGAGGAAGGAUUUCUGGGGCAAGACAUAAUCUCUCCCAGCUGUUGUAUAGAAACUGUUCUGUAAAAUUAUUUCUUUUUUAUAGUUUGUAGUGUACAUUUUAAAAAAUGGUGAUUGUAGAUAUCAUGCAGCAUCCUUUCACUUACCACUAAUAUGGCCCAACUUUUAGGACUUGCCAUCCCAAUUUAAAAUUUCAAUAUUUAAACCAGUGUUGAAAGUGUAGGUCCUUUAUAUCUGAGAGUUACGUCUUAAUUCACUAUGUUACAACAGCCACAUGGGUUUUGUUUUUUUUUUUUUUUUUACAGUGGCACCUCUUGAAACUGAGAUAAUUAUUUUUUUAUGCAACCUGUGUGUUACUUUUCAAGGUAUUUUGCUGCAGUCAUGUGGUAUGACCUGGGACAGUAUUCAGGGGCAACACCAUCAUUCACCAAACAUCUCAGUUGCUUGAUUUUAACCUAUCUUAAAGGCAACUGUGGUAUAUUUGUUUAUGUUACUGUAUGAAUUGUCAGUACAACACAGUGCUGUAACAAAAAGUUACUACUUACUGCUUUUAACCUGUUAUGUAAAAAAUCUUAUUAUUUCUUAAUGAAGCUAACAUGGAACGUACAGGAGUUUGAGAAAAGAACACUAAGCGUGAGGGUUUGUUCAUUGUCCACAGUUUUUUGGCCAGGAUGACUAUUAGAGUUCAGUGUGUACAGUACUGCAGUCAUCAGAUGUACUGACAUGAACUUUUGUCUUUUUGUGGGCAAGACCCGUAUUUAGUAUUAACUUCAACUUUUCUAGAAAAAGCAACCUCAGCCACCUUAAACAGUGGCCUUCUACGUCCUCACUUCAAACUCAGGUGUUUAGGAGUAGUUGAUCUCUUAAAGUAAACUCAGAAGAAUGUUUUUUCUUGACUUUGGCAUUUUAAUUACCUCUCCUCCUAGUUGCCCGUUUCUGGGAGACCAACAUACUGUUACGAUUGUCACAGUGAAAAAGCAAGCUGAACAUGGAAAAAAGGUUCAAAAGUGCACCCUUUAUUAAUAAUUACAAGUGCGUGCUGUACAGUGAAUGUGUAUUGUUUUCAAAGGAAAUCUUAGAAGCCUUGGAGAGACCAAGUAGAUAAACGAGGAAGGCAGUUGCCAAUAGGAGAUGCAUCUAAGGAAUAAACAGCUUUGGGAUCUUGUCGACUUAAGGUCAAGAUUUACAAAACCAGCACAUUAAUAAUGGACCCAGUCAAUAAGUGUUGAAUUGAAUGUUUUCAGCUGCUGUUCCCAAGUUGGGUAUACCUGCUGAGUGGAUCUCACUGCUGGGGGCUCACAGCUCUCAACCCCCUGUACAAGUAAAGGAGCCAGCUCUUCCUCACUGACUGCUGCCAGCUGGGAAAAGGCUUUCCUUUACCCAGUAUUCCUGCCAAUAAAGCAUUCCCCCAGCAAGCCCACAAAGAGCAGACUUGAUUCCAGUCUGUCACAUCUCAAAAACCUCCCAUCUUGCCAGAUAAUAAGACUGUUGCCUGUCUGCGAGAAUGAGAAGCAAGCUCUCGGUUUCUUCUACUGAAUCUUUUUUUGGAUAAAAAUGGUUGGUGACCUAGGGGUUGGAACAAAGAUCUCCCUAUUCCCAAAGCUAUGCUCACUCUAGCAUCUUCUUCCUCCUUUCUCUGGCCAAAUAAGUCAUGGAAUGACUUCACCAGGAGGGAUGAAGCACCUUUCUCAGCACUCAGGCAACUCCUCCAGUGAGGUUUGGAUGCCCCUCGGCAUUUGGAGGGUUUUGAGGAUUUAGCUAAACGCUUACAGUAGCAGCAAGGUAGUAUUUAGGCACUUGCAUCCUUUUAUGGCUCUGGGCUUUCGUUUCUGUUCAGAGUCUCAGUUUCCAGUGCCUUUCACGAUGCAUCAGCCUUCUCUACUUAAAAUGCUGAAAUUACCCCUGAAACACUGGAUUGAACAGUUUGAGAAGAAUUGUUUGGGGCUUUCCAGCUCUGCAGGGAAGUUUGGAAGGACUUUCUGGGAUUGUGGAUAAUCCCAUCCUACUAAAAAAGUCCUGCUAAAAUGCGUUAGUUUUGCAAUAAUAUUUUGUUGUUACUUUCAAAUUUUAAUGCCAUACUGAGGCGAGUUCUGAAACAUAGUGUGAAGUAUAUAAAUGUUGUUAACCUUACAAAUGUAAGCAGUCAAGUUUCUUUAGCCAUCAGAGCUAGAUUGCUUUUAAGGAAAGUGUAGGCAACAAAGCAUGUUUUUGGGACACAGUGUGGAUUAAGUCCCAAGGCCGCCCAGUGCUCUUCCAGUGAUACUUAAAUCACUAUGGGUAUGUUGUUGUAUAGGGAUUUUUCAUACUUUUUCAAUGAAUAGAUCUGUAUGUCUUCUGUAUUGCUCAUAUGGAUCCCUGUGUAGUGAGUAACAACCUCCUGAAAACAGCUUUGCCGUCCCUGAUGCCUUGCAGGUAGCCUGAGUUCCCCCUGGACCUAAGGGCCACAGCCUGAAGCCCAAUGUGUGUUGCAGAAGGGUGAAAGGAAGCAAAGUUACUUACCAGCCACCAGCUUUCUCCUUCAUUCACAAAUUCUUCAAGUCCAGGUACUAAGAUGUUUUCCUUAUCUGACUCUUGGUGUCAUCGCUUUCUGGCAGAUAGCAGUGGAGGAAAAAGGGAUUUCCAAAUACUAUCCAUAAUACUCGACAAGCAAAUUUCUAGUACUUGAAGAUGGGGCAGGAAGCAUAGCUUCUUUGAACAAUUUAGAGUGCGCUUAUUUGCAUAAUGCCAUAUUGCUGUAUUACAUCUGCCUGUUCCUGCAAGGCUGAGCUGGUACCUAAUGUUCUGGUGUCAGAGCAGUUCUUGCUGUCUGGUAAAAUCUGUCAGCAAAGAGCCCCAUCGCUAUCUGAUGCGAGUGGAAGUUUUGCUGUGCCCUCGUUGACCAAGUUUUAGCGUAGCCUGAAGCCACGUUGUUCCA